GAAUUCAAGUUGGUGGCGCAGAACUCAGGACCCAAAGUGCUGGAGGCAAUGGAACGGGUUUCCCAUUGGGCCUCCAGAAAGUCAGUGCCUGGGGCAUGAGACUCCUCCAUACUAACCUGCAGAACAGGCGAGAGGACAGUCAUAUUUGACAGAUCAACACUAUGGAGCCUGGAGGAGAGAUGAGGGUAUCGAGGGACAAAGAAUUCUAGUCUGUGACAGCAGAAGCAGUCAAGGGAACAGAGGGCAAAAUACGCUAUGAAGGAAAUUGAUUUUUUAGUAUAAAGCUCUCCACCAGAAUAUUCCCCAGGGUUAAGCCUCUUCCAUCUAGUUUCGGUGAAAGAGUGGAGCCAAGAGAUGUUUUGGCUUCCAUCUCAGCCUCUGAAAGCCCCCAAAUAUAUGCAGUCCCCUGAGGUGGCCUCAUUGAUACUGAAACAUAAAAGGGGUAAAUAAAAGC